CAGCAGCCGCGGUAAUACGGAGGGGGCUAGCGUUGUUCGGAAUUACUGGGCGUAAAGCGCACGUAGGCGGCUUUGUAAGUUAGUGGUGAAAGCCUGGGGCUCAACUCCAGAAUUGCCUUUAAGACUGCAUCGCUUGAACGUCGGAGAGGUGAGUGGAAUUCCGAGUGUAGAGGUGAAAUUCGUAGAUAUUCGGAAGAACACCGGAGGCGAAAGCGGCUCUCUGGCUUGUAACUGACGCUGAGGCUCGAAAGCGUGGGGAGCAAACAGGAUUAGAUACCCCGGUAGUCCCUGUCUCUUAUAC
rnacentral:rRNA from 1 species